rnacentral:tRNA from 1 species
GAGGGUAUAGCUCGGUGGUAGAGCACAUGCUUAGCAUGCACAAGGUCCUGGGUUCAAUCCCCAGUGCUUCCA